rnacentral:rRNA from 1 species
AAACAGUCCAACGCAAGUUGGGCGGAGGUCCGGCCGUUCCGUUGUGACCCCGUAACGACUGAGCGCGCAGAAGUGUGCGUAAUGAGAUGGCCUCGCGGCUAGCUCGAGAAUUCCCUUUGGGAUAUCAAUCCCGGAGGGAGCGCAGUCCGUUCCGACGAACUGCGACAACAUCGCGUAAGCGACUCGGGUGUGCCAAUCUGAGCGUCGCCAUCAUACGCCGACCCCACGAGUGCUCGUGGGUGAAGACAUAGUCUAACUCCGGGAGAAAUCCCGGGUAAAGUUGCGAUGUCGGCUCUUCCCAUCCUGGUCCUGCAGCAGGGGCCAAGGGUGGGGCUGCUCGCCCAUCAAAGGGGAACGUGAGCUGGGUUUAGACCGUCGUGAGACAGGUCGGCCUCUAACUGAUGGAAGCGGUGGCUCACUGAGGGGAAGCCCUGCCCAGUACGAGAGGAACAGCGGGGCGUUGCCUCUGGCGUACCGGUUGUCCGAGAGGGCAUCGCCGGGCAGCUAAGCAAUCGUGGAUAACCGCUGAAAGCAUCUAAGCGGGAAGCCACUCCCGAGACGAGUGAGCCUUGGGUCCUAACUUCCCUCGCAA